rnacentral:rRNA from 1 species
AUACACGCUGGCGGCGCACAUAAGACAUGCAAGUUGAACGGACUUAAUCGAAAUAUUUAUAUUUUGAAGCGGUUAGUGGCGGACUGGUGAGUAACGCGUAAGGAACCUGCCUAUUAGAGGGGAAUAACAGUGAGAAAUCAUUGCUAAUACCGCAUAUGCCAUAGAUAUCACAUGAUAACAGUGGGAAAGGAGCAAUCCGCUAAUAGAUGGCCUUGCGUCUGAUUAGAUAGUUGGUGGGGUAACGGCCUACCAAGUCGACGAUCAGUAGCCGGACUGAGAGGUUGAACGGCCACAUUGGGACUGAGAUACGGCCCAGACUCCUACGGGAGGCAGCAGUCGGGAAUAUUGCGCAAUGGAGGAAACUCUGACGCAGUGACGCCGCGUAUAGGAAGAAGGUUUUCGGAUUGUAAACUAUUGUCGUUAGGGAAGAGAAAGGACAGUACCUAAGGAGGAAGCUCCGGCUAACUACGUG